AUUGUCUUGGAUCAUGUUUGUCCUGGAUUGGUCAGAUGCUCUGCAAGGAUUGUAGAGUGCAGACUUCUCCACCACAUUCCAACUGCUACAAGUAUUAAAAUGCUUCUGUUUGGCAGUUGGGGAUACAUAAAUAUUUGCUGAGUAAAUGUGAGAAGGACCACCGUGGUGAAAUUGAUGACUACGGCCAGCUUUGAGGUGAGAGAUUGGAGUUGUGCAACCUUCAGCCAUCUAAUCUCAGAACACGUCCAUCACCUCAGAAAGAUCUCUGUGGCCAUUGUAGCUAUUUUGCAUUCAUGCCUCCCCACCCCCCCAUCUCAGACAACCACUGGUCUUUUUCCUAUUUCCAAAGAUUGCCCUUCCUGUACAUUUCAUAUCAGUGGAGUUGUACAUGGUAGGAGGUCUUUUGUGUGGUAUAUAAGGAUUCUAGUUUCUCUACAGCCCACCAGAUCCUUGUUAAGACUUGUUAUUGUUUGUCUUCUUGAUUAUAACCCACCAGUAAAAUGGUACCCUGCUAAUUUAAUUUGCAUUUCUCUCUGACUGGUCAUGUUGAGCAUCUUU